AUGGAUCUGCUAGAUGAGGAACUUGACGACGUGGUCAUCGGUAAGGAUCAUAGGUGGAUGGCGAUCGCCAGGGUCAAUACUGACAGACCCUUUAGUUCAUCUUCCCUAUUUGAUACGAUGAAGUUCGUCUGGGGCCUGGCGCAAGCCAAGUUCAGGGAGGCAGGAGCAAAUAGGUUUAUCUUCCAGAUGUUCUGCCUCGGUGACUGGAAGAAAGUAGUCCAUGGGGGCCCCUGGCUCUUUCGGAACUAUGCAGUUGUCAUUGAGGAUUAUGAUGGUAAAAGUGAUCCAGAAGAAUAUGCCCUAGAUGGUGUGUUCCUGUGGGCGCAGAUCCACAAAGUUCCAGACCUGUACCGCCAUCUAGAGGUGGUUGAUGAGUUAGCGUGCAGGAUCGGGAAAGUUAGGGAGGUCCAGCUUAGGCCUACCUUGUACUAUGAAGGAGACUAUGUAAGAGCUAGGGUUCGAGUACUGACAGCCAAACCUUUGACAAGAUUUACACUCCUCUUAAUGUGGAGGGAGAAGGGAGGAAGAUGCUGGUGGUAA
rnacentral:rRNA from 1 species